CGUGUGCUUACAAGUAGUCAGAGCCCGUUAAUGGGUGAUGGCGUGCCUUUUGUAGAAUGAACCGGCGAGUUACGAUUUGAUGCAAGGUUAAGCAGUAAAUGUGGAGCCGUAGCGAAAGCGAGUCUGAAUAGGGCGUUUAGUAUUUGGUCGUAGACCCGAAACCAGGUGAUCUACCCUUGGUCAGGUUGAAGUUCAGGUAACACUGAAUGGAGGACCGAACCGACUUACGUUGAAAAGUGAGCGGAUGAACUGAGGGUAGCGGAGAAAUUCCAAUCGAACCUGGAGAUAGCUGGUUCUCUCCGAAAUAGCUUUAGGGCUAGCCUCAAGUGAUGAUUAUUGGAGGUAGAGCACUGUUUGGACGAGGGGCCCCUCUCGGGUUACCGAAUUCAGACAAACUCCGAAUGCCAAUUAAUUUAACUUGGGAGUCAGAACAUGGGUGAUAAGGUCCGUGUUCGAAAGGGAAACAGCCCAGACCACCAGCUAAGGUCCCAAAAUAUAUGUUAAGUGGAAAAGGAUGUGGCGUUGCCCAGACAACUAGGAUGUUGGCUUAGAAGCAGCCAUCAUUUAAAGAGUGCGUAAUAGCUCACUAGUCGAGUGACACUGCGCCGAAAAUGUACCGGGGCUAAACAUAUUACCGAAGCUGUGGAUUGUCCUUUGGACAAUGGUAGGAGAGCGUUCUAAGGGCGUUGAAGCAU
rnacentral:rRNA from 1 species